rnacentral:lncRNA from 1 species
GGAUCGAAACGUACCUCAGCAGUUUGAUCGCCUCCGCGACCACCAUGCGUUUCUGCCUUGACAGGCUUACCGUUUCUAUCAUACACCACAGUAAUGGAGUCGAUGCAAAGACCGUAAGCAAGCGUGAUCUCUCUCACCCCAUUGUAGAUCCCAUCGUCCCAAUCAGCUCCACCAUUUCCUCCCCAUGGUCCUACUUCAAUGGUCUUCUUCUUCUUCCCACUUGCACGCUCCUUGCCAUCCUACAUAAAAAUUUAAAGGAACUUUCCUUGUUCAAAUGUUUAGAUACAAUUUUUCUCAUUCAGAGUACUAGUUUAUGUUGAGAACAACAGUAACAUACUUACAAUCUAGCAAAUAAAUAAAGGGUAAAAUUAAAGAUCAAGUGCCAAGGAAACAACAAACAGAGUGAUUAAGAACAAGAUGCAUACCAUAGGGCUCAGGGAAGGUUUAGAGAAGAGCAAAGCAAGGAAAAAGCUAGAAUGAGUAUAGUUG